GGGGUAGUGGAGAAAGUAAUGGUGGAGGAAUGGGAGGAAGCGAGGAGGAGGAGAGCAGUAGGAGAGGUCGGGGAAGAGGUUUUAACAGUAGGAGAAGAGGUUUUAACAGUAGGAGAGGUCGGGGAAGAGGAUUUAACAGUAGGAGAGGUCGGAGAAGAGGAUUUAACAGUAGGAGAGGUCGGGAAGAGGAUUUAACAGUAGGAGAGGUCGGGGAAGAGGAUUUAACAGUAGGAGAAGAGGAUUUAACAGUAGGAGAGGUCGGGGAAGAGGAUUUAACAGUAGGAGAAGAGGAUUUAACAGUAGGAGAGGUCGGGGAAGAGGAUUUAACAGUAGGAGAGGUCGGGG